AUUCUGAGAAACCUUCCAGUUUUAAUUACGGUUAAAACAUGACAAUUUUCAUCUGUUGUAGUGAAAUUCUUUCCUCUUUUCCUCAAGAGUCACAUUUUGAAGAUCACCAUCAGCAUACCAUGUCGAGUGCAGUGAGUAAGAGAAGCCUGAAAAACGACGUUAGACAAGAACAGUGAUGCUUAUCUAAACAUCUAUUUCUGCAGAAUUUCCCCUCCCAAAGCAAAGAACAAUACUUUCCCCUGGCAGCGUAUAUUUGGCUCGGUACCCGAAGAAACUAAUGAUAGUGUAAACAGAAGCCAGGAUACGAACAAUAGCUUAAAAGAGCUCCCAUGUUUUCUCUCAGGAAAUCCUAGGGGUCUGCUAGACUAAUAGUGCCUGGUGGCUGUUAGAUGAGAAUUCACGGUGCAACUCCUAUGCUGGAUGGAGAUGAGGUGAGGAUGGAUGUGUCAGUGCAGGGAUACUGUGCUACGUGGACCUGUGGAUCCGAUGGCCCAGGCAAUUGCUGCCAAGCCUGUGUGCCAGAAACAAAAUUUCUGCGGGAUCUGUGAGCAGCUUGAGAAAUCUCUCUGUUAUUCCAUGAGAACUGAUAUUAAGGGCUGUGGUGGAUGAAUCUUAUCAAAAGCCUUCUGCAAAUCCAAGCACAAGAUCCAGAUCAGCUCACCACAUAUAUGAACUGAUUUAUGCCAUUACAGAUGAGUCUGGUGUUCCCUCUACAAAAGCUGUACAUCUGCUAAUUUUGUUUUCUGUUGUAGUUUCUAUUGACUUGCUUGAUGCCAAAAUCAAAUUUAGUGACCUGUAUUUCCCCAGAUUUUGCAAGGAUCCCUUUGAAAGAUUGACAUAGUUGCCAUAAUCCUUCUUUUCUUUUCUUUUUUUUUUUUGGUGCUGAAACCACUUUAAGCAAUAGCUUACAUUUCUCUUAGAAGUUCAAAAAAUGUCAUAUUUAAUUUCCUUUAACUUUAAAAUAUUUCUAUUAGUAUGUUUUUAUGCUUCCUCUAACUUGCUUCUCCACAAUUGUUUUUUCGGAUGCUUUAAUUUGGGUCAACAUUAAACAUGUCAGAAUUUAUGCUGCUUUUUC
rnacentral:lncRNA from 1 species